rnacentral:tRNA from 1 species
AGCGGCGUGGCUUAGUGGAUAGAGCACAGGCCUGAGAGUCAGAAGGGCCUGGGUUCUAACCCCGGCUCUGCCA